GGGUUGUGAGGUUAAGCGACUAAGCGUACACGGUGGAUGCCCUGGCAGUCAGAGGCGAUGAAGGACGUGCUAAUCUGCGAUAAGCGCCGGUAAGGUGAUAUGAACCGUUAUAACCGGCGAUUUCCGAAUGGGGAAACCCAGUGUGAUUCGUCACACUAUCAUUAACUGAAUCCAUAGGUUAAUGAGGCGAACCGGGGGAACUGAAACAUCUAAGUACCCCGAGGAAAAGAAAUCAACCGAGAUUCCCCCAGUAGCGGCGAGCGAACGGGGAGGAGCCCAGAGCCUGAAUCAGCAUGUGUGUUAGUGGAAGCGUCUGGAAAGGCGCGCGAUACAGGGUGACAGCCCCGUACACAAAAGCGCAUGUGCUGUGAGCUCGAUGAGUAGGGCGGGACACGUGGUAUCCUGUCUGAAUAUGGGGGGACCAUCCUCCAAGGCUAAAUACUCCUGACUGACCGAUAGUGAACCAGUACCGUGAGGGAAAGGCGAAAAGAACCCCGGCGAGGGGAGUGAAAAAGAACCUGAAACCGUGUACGUACAAGCAGUGGGAGCACCCUUCGGGGUGUGACUGCGUACCUUUUGUAUAAUGGGUCAGCGACUUAUAUUCUGUAGCAAGGUUAACCGUAUAGGGGAGCCGGAGGGAAACCGAGUCUUAACCGGGCGUUAAGUUGCAGGGUAUAGACCCGAAACCCGGUGAUCUAGCCAUGGGCAGGUUGAAGGUUGGGUAACACUAACUGGAGGACCGAACCGACUAAUGUUGAAAAAUUAGCGGAUGACCUGUGGCUGGGGGUGAAAGGCCAAUCAAACCGGGAGAUAGCUGGUUCUCCCCGAAAGCUAUUUAGGUAGCGCCUCGUGAAUUCAUCUCCGGGGGUAGAGCACUGUUUCGGCUAGGGGGCCAUCCCGGCUUACCAACCCGAUGCAAACUGCGAAUACCGGAGAAUGUUAUCACGGGAGACACACGGCGGGUGCUAACGUCCGUCGUGAAGAGGGAAACAACCCAGACCGCCAGCUAAGGUCCCAAAGUCAUGGUUAAGUGGGAAACGAUGUGGGAAGGCCCAGACAGCCAGGAUGUUGGCUUAGAAGCAGCCAUCAUUUAAAGAAAGCGUAAUAGCUCACUGGUCGAGUCGGCCUGCGCGGAAGAUGUAACGGGGCUAAACCAUGCACCGAAGCUGCGGCAGCGAACGUAUCACCCAAGACAACUUUACGGAGUUGACGAUUGACGGAGCGAAGCGACGUCAAAGCGUUCAUUAAAGUCGAGUUGGCUUAGGGAUACGUUCGUUGGGUAGGGGAGCGUUCUGUAAGCCUGUGAAGGUGUGUCGUGAGGCAUGCUGGAGGUAUCAGAAGUGCGAAUGCUGACAUAAGUAACGAUAAAGCGGGUGAAAAGCCCGCUCGCCGGAAGACCAAGGGUUCCUGUCCAACGUUAAUCGGGGCAGGGUGAGUCGACCCCUAAGGCGAGGCCGAAAGGCGUAGUCGAUGGGAAACGGGUUAAUAUUCCCGUACUUGGUGUUACUGCGAAGGGGGGACGGAGAAGGCUAUGUUGGCCGGGCGACGGUUGUCCCGGUUUAAGCGUGUAGGUGUGUGUUCCAGGUAAAUCCGGUUCACUUUAACACUGAGGCGUGACGACGAGGCACUACGGUGCUGAAGCAACAAAUGCCCUGCUUCCAGGAAAAGCCUCUAAGCAUCAGGUAACAUCAAAUCGUACCCCAAACCGACACAGGUGGUCAGGUAGAGAAUACCAAGGCGCUUGAGAGAACUCGGGUGAAGGAACUAGGCAAAAUGGUGCCGUAACUUCGGGAGAAGGCACGCUGACACGUAGGUGAAGUGAUUUACUCAUGGAGCUGAAGUCAGUCGAAGAUACCAGCUGGCUGCAACUGUUUAUUAAAAACACAGCACUGUGCAAACACGAAAGUGGACGUAUACGGUGUGACGCCUGCCCGGUGCCGGAAGGUUAAUUGAUGGGGUCAGCGCAAGCGAAGCUCCUGAUCGAAGCCCCGGUAAACGGCGGCCGUAACUAUAACGGUCCUAAGGUAGCGAAAUUCCUUGUCGGGUAAGUUCCGACCUGCACGAAUGGCGUAAUGAUGGCCAGGCUGUCUCCACCCGAGACUCAGUGAAAUUGAACUCGCUGUGAAGAUGCAGUGUACCCGCGGCAAGACGGAAAGACCCCGUGAACCUUUACUAUAGCUUGACACUGAACAUUGAGCCUUGAUGUGUAGGAUAGGUGGGAGGCUUUGAAGUGUGGACGCCAGUCUGCAUGGAGCCGACCUUGAAAUACCACCCUUUAAUGUUUGAUGUUCUAACGUGGACCCGUAAUCCGGGUUGCGGACAGUGUCUGGUGGGUAGUUUGACUGGGGCGGUCUCCUCCUAAAGAGUAACGGAGGAGCACGAAGGUUGGCUAAUCCUGGUCGGACAUCAGGAGGUUAGUGCAAUGGCAUAAGCCAGCUUGACUGCGAGCGUGACGGCGCGAGCAGGUGCGAAAGCAGGUCAUAGUGAUCCGGUGGUUCUGAAUGGAAGGGCCAUCGCUCAACGGAUAAAAGGUACUCCGGGGAUAACAGGCUGAUACCGCCCAAGAGUUCAUAUCGACGGCGGUGUUUGGCACCUCGAUGUCGGCUCAUCACAUCCUGGGGCUGAAGUAGGUCCCAAGGGUAUGGCUGUUCGCCAUUUAAAGUGGUACGCGAGCUGGGUUUAGAACGUCGUGAGACAGUUCGGUCCCUAUCUGCCGUGGGCGCUGGAGAACUGAGGGGGGCUGCUCCUAGUACGAGAGGACCGGAGUGGACGCAUCACUGGUGUUCGGGUUGUCAUGCCAAUGGCACUGCCCGGUAGCUAAAUGCGGAAGAGAUAAGUGCUGAAAGCAUCUAAGCACGAAACUUGCCCCGA
rnacentral:rRNA from 1 species